rnacentral:snRNA from 1 species
GGUGCCAUCACGAGUUCAAGGUGCCAUAUUUUAAAAUUGGAACGAUACAUAAGAGAUUACCAUGGUCCUUGUACAAAGAUGACAUAUAAACUUGUGAAGUGUCUUAUAUUUUU